AUUGAACGCUGGCGGCAGGCCUAACACAUGCAAGUCGAGCGCGAACGGUCCUUCGGGACUUAUUAGAGCGGCGGACGGGUGAGUAAUGCAUAGGAAUCUGCCCAGUAGUGGGGGAUAGCCCGGGGAAACCCGGAUUAAUACCGCAUACGUCCUACGGGAGAAAGCAGGGGAUCUUCGGACCUUGCGCUAUUGGAUGAGCCUAUGUCGGAUUAGCUUGUUGGUGGGGUAAUGGCCCACCAAGGCGACGAUCCGUAGCUGGUCUGAGAGGAUGAUCAGCCACACUGGGACUGAGACACGGCCCAGACUCCUACGGGAGGCAGCAGUGGGGAAUAUUGCACAAUGGGGGAAACCCUGAUGCAGCCAUGCCGCGUGUGUGAAGAAGGCCUUCGGGUUGUAAAGCACUUUCAGUAGGGAGGAAGGCCUGUAAGUUAAUACCUUGCAGGAUUGACGUUACCUACAGAAGAAGCACCGGCUAAC
rnacentral:rRNA from 1 species